ensembl:lncRNA
AGUCAGAGGGCUGACUGAAGUGAUCUUUACCCAGUGCUCUGGAAGGGAAGGGAAGGACCUCUGUGAGCAGCCCUCAAUGGGAGCCCCAGAGGUACUGGCUGGGAGGCAGGACCACACCCUCAAUUCACUCAUUAGAGUCUGUGCCUUGGUCCUUUGCUCUUGGUGGAGUGGGCCCCUGGGGCAGCUACCCUGGCUUGAAGAAAACCUCCAUUCCCCUUGUGCUAAGUUGCUUCAGUGUGUCUGACUCUUUGCGACCUCAUAGACUGUAGCCUGCCAGGCUCCUUUGUCCAUGGGAUUCUCCAGGAAAGAAUGAGAAGGCUGCCUGGAAGAAGAGACAUGUAAAUUGAGUUCUGGCAGGAGUCAGCAAGAGGGUGCUUCUGUAUUGGCAAGGAUAGCGUGCACAGCUGUGGAUGUUUCUACACCGAUCAGAACAGAAGCAUCUGAAGUGGUUGAACUGGGAAUGAUUCUCAUGAAAGAAAGAACGGUGCAUCCUGCCACUUCCCACACUGCUGCCACAGUUCAUGAGGACCAAAUUUCCUGAAGCUACCAGAGAUGCAUCUUAUAAAUAAACAGGACCCAGACUAUGCUAAGAGAUGUUCCCAAUUCCCCCCAGAUUGAUGGACGCUCCCUGACCAACUACUGCAAAGAUCAAAAACUUUUUUAAAGCACAUUAACAAUUUUCACACUAUUAAGUCUUUUUACACACCAAAUUGUUCAGAAGCACAAGGUGAACUGUCUAACAU